rnacentral:tRNA from 1 species
GGGGUUGUGGCUCAGCGGUAGAGUGCUCACCUAGCAUGUGUGAGGCCCUGGGUUCCAUCCUCAGCACCACA